AGCAGACAGAUCACUAUGCCAGCUGUUGGGAGGAGGAAAUGAAGGUUCAGGAAGCUCAAGUAAUUUGUACAGGGUCACAAAAUAGUAUUAAAAGUCAUGUGCCCACCAUGGAAACAGUCAUGUCACCUCAAAUAUAUCUGGGAUUGAAUUCCCAGGUGCAUUCUGGGGACUCAUCACCAGCCGGCUGAGGUGGCAUCGUGUGCAGGCAUAGAAGGUCUCUGUACCACAUGAUUGGACUUCAUGAUGCUGUUUCGGGCUUAAUUCUAUUUUAAACUCUUUUCCUAUUGCACAGACUGGGGCAGCCAUAACUCAGUUAUUUAAAUGAUGUUGCACUGGCUUUCCUGGUGACCCUGGUCACAGUUUUGAAGUCUGACCAGCAGCAGACCUGGGCAUGUGUGGAUGAUGACAGAGAGAGGAAGUGAAUCUGAAAGACUGUAGAGGGGCAGAGUGGGAGACUCUGAGGCUCUGGAUCUGCGAGGAUGGGCUGUGAGCUGAGACACAGCGCCCCACUCCAGCAAGGAUGGGGAUGAAGAGCGUGGGUCAAGGGCUGCCUCUGGGACUCUGAAAUGGAAUGUAAAGAGAGGAGCUGGUGGCGCACCAGUGAAGCUGAACUCUCUGAGGCUUAGGUCCUUGGUAUUUCUGGGAGGUGGAGGGAGGUCAAAGCCAGGGAACCUCAGAAAGCAACAGGGGAAGGAAACAAGGGAGUCGGGCUAAGGAGCCUGGACGUUUCUGCACAGAACAACCAGGAGUCUUGAACAGUGCUUCCAACAGGCACUGGGGGAGUGAAGAGGGAGCUUAGGGAUAAAGAUGAUGGUGAAAGCUGGACAAUGCGGGGACCAGCAGGGUCAGAGCCACAAAACGGCAUGUGUGUGCAUGUGCAUGCAAGAGCUCAGGGCUGGGCAUAGCUUGCUGAAUGCUGCCAUGGCUCACCCAUCUCACCUGCCUGUGUACAUCUGAAUAGCUGCUCCUCACAAGUAUUGGCUCAUGCAGUGACAUCAUGAAACCAAAUUUCUUUCACUCUGGAGGAGGUAGAAAGAGCUACAAAUAAAUCUUCAGGGAUCGGUAGUUAUAAUUCUCUGUUUAUGGGGUUUUCUCUCACUGUAAAGUACAU